UAGGGAAUCUUCGGCAAUGGACGAAAGUCUGACCGAGCAACGCCGCGUGAGUGAAGAAGGUUUUCGGAUCGUAAAACUCUGUUGUUAGAGAAGAACAAGGACGUUAGUAACUGAACGUCCCCUGACGGUAUCUAACCAGAAAGCCACGGCUAACUACGUGCCAGCAGCCGCGGUAAUACGUAGGUGGCAAGCGUUGUCCGGAUUUAUUGGGCGUAAAGCGAGCGCAGGCGGUUUCUUAAGUCUGAUGUGAAAGCCCCCGGCUCAACCGGGGAGGGUCAUUGGAAACGGGGAGACUUGAGUGCAGAAGAGGAGAGUGGAAUUCCAUGUGUAGCGGUGAACUGCGUAGAUAUAUGGAGGAACACCAGUGGCGAAGGCGGCUCUCUGGUCUGUAACUGACGCUGAGGCUCGAAAGCGUGGGGAGCAAACAGG
rnacentral:rRNA from 1 species